CUGCUGCCUUCCGUAGGAGUCUGGCCGUGUCUCAGUACCAGUGUGGGGGACCUUCCUCUCAGAACCCCUACGCAUCGUCGCCACGGUGGGCCGUUACCCCGCCGUCUAGCUAAUGCGCCGCAUGCCCAUCCUCUUCCGAUGAAUCUUUCCUCGAUCUCGGAUGCCCGAAACCGAUAUACGCGGGAUUAGCCUCCCUUUCGGAAGGUUGUCCCCCUGAAGAGGGCAGGUUGCAUACGUGUUACUCACCCGUGCGCCGGUCGCCGG
rnacentral:rRNA from 1 species